rnacentral:rRNA from 1 species
AACGAACGCUGGCGGCGGGCCUAACACAUGCAAGUCGAGCGAGCAUUUCGGUGCUAGCGGCGGAAGGGUGAGUAACGCAGGGGCACACGCCCUUUUCAGACGAAUAGUCUUGGGACACUAGGGGUAAAACAGCAUACGCCCCUUGGGGUAAUGCUCUAUCGGAGAAGGGUCGGCCCGCGUUGGUUUAGGUAGUUGGUGGGGUGAUGGCCGACCAAGCCGACGACCCUUAGCUGGUUUGUGAGGAUGAGCAGCCACACUGGGACUGAGAGACGGCCCAGACUCCGACGGGAGGCAGCAGUGGGGAAUCUUAGACAAGGGGGGCAACCCUGAGCUAGCCAGGCCGCGGGAGUGAUGAAGGCCUUAGGGUUGUAAAGCUCUUUCAGCUGGGAAGAUAAUGACGGUAGCAGCAGAAGAAGCCCCGGCUAACUCCGUG